CAACUAAGUCCCAGCUGCAGAGCGCUCUUUCCCUUUGCUUUCUCAAACUUUUGAAGCUUUGCAUUAGUAGUUCUUAGUUAAAGAAAAUCCCAAAAAUAUUUUCAGUUUUAGUAGCCACCAAAUAAAAUUCUGCUGGUCGGAGGAAGGUUUGUCUUCGGUCGACUAAUCGCUAAUCACAUUUUAUCCUUGCAUUAGUUUUCCGGGUAUUCGCUAAUAUUUUGCAGGAACCAUGUGUGAAGAAGGCGAUGCACAUCAGGUUCAAGAGUCGGUCCGACAGUGGUUCGCAGACACCCACACACGUCUCGGACAGCAUGUCGGUAGACUCAAUCCCGCUGCCAGGCAAGGAGCAACAUCAAGGAGAAUCCGGGUCCUAACCAAAGAAGGAUAAAUUGUCCUGAGGACGAACCUGGAAAGGCAAGCUUUCGCCAUGAUGAGAGACUGAUCGUUUGAACAUACUUGUGUUUUUGAUGAGGAACUCCUCACAAAAAUGGUAUGGACAACGAGUUCGGGUCCGUCUUCCACAACGUCAGCUGGUCAGAAUUUUUGGAGUAUCAAGGAAUCCGGUGCAGGACCAACCACGAGGGCCAGGACUAGACGGAUGGAGGAAACCGCAGGGCCAUCUCAUCCUCAACCUCCACCAUGAGAAACAUCCGCGAUAGCAGCAUCCCAAGAAGCAUACUCCGGAGGAUGGCUCAUAUGGUUCAAGGUACACCGAAGGAGCGUAUCAAGCGGGAGCCUCAUACCAGCAAUUUGGGCCUGAACCAGGGAGGACACAAUCCGCCCGCUUCCCAUCAAACUACUAUGAGAGUUUUUCACAUGUGGUGGAAACAACGGAUGACACCAACACAAGAGUCUGGCAGAUUCAGACGACCCUCGACGACCAAACCAAGCUAAUGAACAACUUUUUUGGCGGUUGGAACCCAUACGUGUAGUCAACCAAGUUUGGGGGAGAGGCCUCCGCCAAGCUAAGUACCACAAACAACCUUCCUGAUGCAGCUAGUUAGUUGUAUAAUUACUUAUUUUUCAUCUAUCUAUAAAAAACCUAAAA